AUGACCUCCCCUGACUUCUCUGGUCUCUAAUGUUCUUUUCAUCCUGAAGUUUCUCACAUUUAUCUUUAUCUCCACAGGGUACUUAAAUUGAGCUACUAUGGAGUGGGGGGAAGGGAGAAGGAAAGAAACUCCUUUCCCUAAACCUUCUCCUGCCUGAGAGUUUUAGGAAAGCCCAGUAUCACUGUGGUAGAAUGGAAUCACAAGCAGUUCGUGAAAAGAGUUAGAGAGAAGCAAAAGGCCAUUAAGUAACACCAACCCACCUUCCACUGGAUUCUCAACAUCAUCCUCAGGUGCUCAAAGAGACGAUUUUCACCAUCACAGUCCCCACCUGCGAAACUCUCGCACAUACCUUAAAGCCUGCACUACUGGUGCACUGGAGCAGGACUGGGCCCCGCCCUAGUCAGGAGAGCACACGGCCCUGGGGAAAAGCACUGAGCUGAGAGUGAAGGCUCAUAUCACAGACGCAGCUCUGCACUGGCAAGAGCUCUGAGAAUAUAAGCCUUGGGAAAGUCAUCUCACCUCUCUGGGACUCAGUUUCUCCAUCUGCAGCACCAGGACAACGUGAUGAAAUCCCGAAUCCCGUUCUGACAUUCAAAGGACCUAAGGGCCAAGCUGGUGACCCCUACCCUGGGUUCUUAUUUCUGCGUUAGGGCAGACAUGCCACAGAAGAGCCAAGGUAUUAAGACAAGUGAUUACAAGUCACUCUCUAAACUAUCCUGAAAGUUCAGACAGUAAAAAGUCAGCCACAACUUUUCUGAAAUCCAAAAUGAAAAGUUUUGGAACUUACAGUCCUGGCCCAGACCAUUCAUUUUACGAAGGUCAGGACUCUCUGUUUCUUGGACGGUAAACCAGGAAAGAAAACAAUGGGACAACAGUAGUUACCUGGCACCUGGAAGGGCACAUUGCUUGCUUGCUAGAAGGGCCCUCCAAACACUAGACUGAGAAGGACGUACAGGGGGCCUUAGGGUAAGCAUUCAUUCCAAAAAAUAUGGGAAUGACAGCUGCUAUUUCUGGCCAAUGGAUCAGGACCUGAAAGAUGGGUGUAAUCUCCACUGAACAAAUCGUACUGUCAGAAAUAAUCUUGCAUCUGCCAGCACUCAACAAACCGGCAGCUCUUUAGAGAGGACUCUCUGGGGACCCAGAGCUGCAGUAACCAAGGGAAAUGUAUUCAGAUUAGAUCAGCAAAGGCCUCUCCGUUUCCACACGAGGUAUUGUAGGGGGCAAUGACACCGGCCAACACACAAGAUUUACACAAUGAACUCCCUGAAUGCUGCACAUGUCCGGGUCAGAAGAGCUGCCGCUGGGCUACAAAUGGCUCCUGAAGCAGCAGAUGCCAAGUGUCCUAUUUACCUUUGCCUUUGGUUACAAUUCCUCAAGAGGGCCUGAGAGGUCUGCUAUUCAUGGUAUUGCCUUUUCCGUCCAUUUUAAAUUAGGAAGAAUUCUUACUUGUCUCAUUCCCUUUACCUUUCUCUUCCCAACAUGAAAACAUAAAUAAGAUGUGGUGUGUCCAAAUGAUGGAAUAUUAUUUAGUAACAAAAAAGAAUGAAGUACU